rnacentral:rRNA from 1 species
GAUGAACGCUAGCGGCAGGCUUAACACAUGCAAGUCGAGGGGCAGCGAAUCUAGUUUGCUAGAUGUCGGCGACCGGCGCACGGGUGCGUAACGCGUAUAGAAUCUGCCUUGUACAGGAGGAUAGCCUUUAGAAAUGAAGAUUAAUACUCCAUAAUGUUGUUUUAUGGCAUCGUAAAAUAAUUAAACAUUUAUGGGUACAAGAUGACUAUGCGUCCUAUUAGCUAGAUGGUAAGGUAACGGCUUACCAUGGCAACGAUAGGUAGGGGGUCUGAGAGGAUUAUCCCCCACACUGGUACUGAGACACGGACCAGACUCCUACGGGAGGCAGCAGUGAGGAAUAUUGGUCAAUGGAGGCAACUCUGAACCAGCCAUGCCGCGUGAAGGAAGACGGCCCUAUGGGUUGUAAACUUCUUUUAUAUGGGAAGAAACUAUUCUACGUGUAGAAUACUGACGGUACCAUACGAAUAAGCACCGGCUAACUCCG